rnacentral:rRNA from 1 species
ACCAGCUGUGCUACCACUCAGCCAGAUCUCAUUAGAUCUCAGAAUCUAAGAAAGCUGUGCCUAGUUAGUACUGGGAUGGAAGACUUCCAAAGAAAACCAGAUUCCAGCUGUUC